rnacentral:rRNA from 2 species
GGAUCAUUACCGAGUUUACACUCCCAAACCCCUGUGCACCUAUACCUCUACUGUUGCCUCGGCGGGCACGGCCGCGGACGCCCCCUCGCGGGGGCGCCGGGGCUAGGCGCCCGCCGGGGGACCAAAACCCUUCUGUAUUUUCUUACGCAUGUCUGAGUGGAUUGAAUAUCGAAUGAAUCAAAACUUUCAACAACGGAUCUCUUGGUUCUGGCAUCGAUGAAGAACGCAGCGAAAUGCGAUAAGUAAUGUGAAUUGCAGAAUUCAGUGAAUCAUCGAAUCUUUGAACGCACAUUGCGCCCGCCAGUAUUCUGGCGGGCAUGCCUGUUCGAGCGUCAUUUCAACCCUCAAGCCCGCUGCGCGCUUGGUGUUGGGGACCGGCUCGCCCGCCUCGCGGCGGCGGCCGCCCCUGAAAUGAAUCGGCGGUCUCGUCGCAGCCUCCUUUGCGUAGUAACACACCACCUCGCAACCGGGAGCGCGGCGCGGCCACUGCCGUAAAACGCCCAACUUCUCCAAGAGUUGACCUCGAAUCAGGUAGGACUACCCGCUGAACUUAAGCAUAUCAAUAAGCGGAGGAAAAGAAACCAACAGGGAUUGCCCCAGUAACGGCGAGUGAAGCGGCAACAGCUCAAAUUUGAAAUCUGGCCCCCCGGGGCCCGAGUUGUAAUUUGCAGAGGAUGCUUUUGGCGAGGCGCCUUCCGAGUUCCCUGGAACGGGACGCCACAGAGGGUGAGAGCCCCGUCUGGUCGGAUGCCGAGCCUCUGUAAAGCUCCUUCGACGAGUCGAGUAGUUUGGGAAUGCUGCUCUAAAUGGGAGGUAUAUGUCUUCUAAAGCUAAAUAUUGGCCAGAGACCGAUAGCGCACAAGUAGAGUGAUCGAAAGAUGAAAAGCACUUUGAAAAGAGGGUUAAAUAGUACGUGAAAUUGUUGAAAGGGAAGCGCUCAUGACCAGACUUGGGCCCGGUGAAUCAUCCAGCGUUCUCGCUGGUGCACUUUGCCGGGCUCAGGCCAGCAUCAGUUUGCCCCGGGGGAUAAAGGCUCUGGGAAUGUGGCUCCUCCGGGAGUGUUAUAGCCCUCUGCGCAAUGCCCUGGGGCGGACUGAGGU